GGCGCGCGAUACAGGGUGACAGCCCCGUACACAAAAGCGCAUGUGCUGUGAGCUCGAUGAGUAGGGCGGGACACGUGGUAUCCUGUCUGAAUAUGGGGGGACCAUCCUCCAAGGCUAAAUACUCCUGACUGACCGAUAGUGAACCAGUACCGUGAGGGAAAGGCGAAAAGAACCCCGGCGAGGGGAGUGAAAAAGAACCUGAAACCGUGUACGUACAAGCAGUGGGAGCCCCACCACCAAAGCAUUCUCUGGUGUUGAAGGCCCUGCAAAGCAGCAUCGCGGUGGCGGAGCGUCGUUUGCGACGCCCAACACACAAAACAAGCGGUGAGUGCUUUGGGGUGGGGUGACUGCGUACCUUUUGUAUAAUGGGUCAGCGACUUAUAUUCUGUAGCAAGGUUAACCGAAUAGGGGAGCCGGAGGGAAACCGAGUCUUAAUUGGGCGUUAAGUUGCAGGGUAUAGACCCGAAACCCGGUGAUCUAGCCAUGGGCAGGUUGAAGGUUGGGUAACACUAACUGGAGGACCGAACCGACUAAUGUUGAAAAAUUAGCGGAUGACCUGUGGCUGGGGGUGAAAGGCCAAUCAAACCGGGAGAUAGCUGGUUCUCCCCGAAAGCUAUUUAGGUAGCGCCUCGUGAAUUCAUCUCCGGGGGUAGAGCACUGUUUCGGCUAGGGGGCCAUCCCGGCUUACCAACCCGAUGCAAACUGCGAAUACCGGAGAAUGUUAUCACGGGAGACACACGGCGGGUGCUAACGUCCGUCGUGAAGAGGGAAACAACCCAGACCGCCAGCUAAGGUCCCAAAGUCAUGGUUAAGUGGGAAACGAUGUGGGAAGGCCCAGACAGCCAGGAUGUUGGCUUAGAAGCAGCCAUCAUUUAAAGAAAGCGUAAUAGCUCACUGGUCGAGUCGGCCUGCGCGGAAGAUGUAACGGGGCUAAACCAU
rnacentral:rRNA from 1 species